rnacentral:rRNA from 1 species
UAAGACAUGCUAGUCGAGCGCUUCUAGCCAAAAGGAGGCGCGGCGCACAGCUCAGUAGUACGUGGCUAACCUGCCCUUGGGAUAGGAACAACCCCGGGAAACUGGGCUAAUUCCCAAUAGGUGAAGAACUCUGGAAUGAGUCUUCGCCAGAAAGGACUCCUACACUAUGCUUGUAGGUUCGCCCAAGGAUGGGGCCGCGACCGAUCAGGUUGUUGGUGAGGUAAUGGCUCACCAAGCCUUUACCGGUGCGGGCCGUGGGAGCGGAAGCCCGGAGAUGGGCACUGAGACAAGGGCCCAGGCCCUACGGGGCGCAGCAGUCGCGAAAACUUUGCAAUAAGCGCAAGCUUGACAGGGCUAUCCCGAGUGCCAUCCGCUGAGGAAGGCUUUUACCCAGUCUAGAAAGCUGGGGGAAUAAGGAGAGGGCAAGUCUGGUGUCAGCCGCCGCGGUAAUACCAGCUCUCCGAGUGGUGUGGAUGUUUAUUGGGCCUAAAGCAUCCGUAGCUGGCUGAACAAGUCCCCUGUUAAACCCACCGAUUUAAUCGUUGGCUUGCGGGGGAUACUGCUCGGCUAGGGGACGAGAGAGGCAGACGGUAUUCCCGGGGUAGGGGUGAAAUCCUAUAAUCCCGGGAAGACCACCAGUGGCGAAGGCUGUCUGCUAGAACGCGCCCGACGGUGAGGGAUGAAAGCUGGGGGAGCGAACCGGAUUAGAUACCCGGGUAGUCCCAGCUGUAAACUAUGCAAACUCAGUGAUGCAUUGACUUGUGGUCAAUGCAGUGCUGCAGGGAAGCCGUUAAGUUUGCCGCCUGGGAAGUACGUACGCAAGUAUGAAACUUAAAGGAAUUGGCGGGGGAGCACCACAAGGGGUGAAGCCUGCGGUUCA